rnacentral:ncRNA from 2 species
AGUGAAGGUAGAGGUGCGAGCUUCAAGAGUAAAGGUUCAGAGAAGGAUGAGCUUCAACGAGGAGCCUUAAAAGGGGAUGUUCGCCGAAGUAAAGAAAGCCUCAUUUCUUUCUUUGCUGGUCCUGUAUUGAAUAAAUGCUGGAUUGUCAGGACAAAUGUCUUGGAGAGCUAUCUAACAU